CACUUGCACAGAGGAAAAAGAAAGGGAAAAAAGCCAACAAAGAGGAGGGGCAAUUGCUUGGAAGACAGAAAGGUCAUCUUCACAAAAUGCCGAAAAGUCAGAGUUAUUGGCUGGACAUUCUUUCUGUUGAUCACAGAAAAUUAAAGCUACAAAUAAAGCAUAUCAAAUAACUGAGAGCUUUGGAUCUCCAUUGGCUUGAUGAAUUACCACAAAUCCAGACAAAGCAAGAACAAAAGCUCUGUGCAGUGUCAUUGCAUCUUGUAAGUAUUACAGAAGUGCAUCUGGGGUCCCUCAGGAGGUUUUAAACAGAGAGUGUAA